UACGAAGGGGGCUAGCGUUGUUCGGAAUCACUGGGCGUAAAGCGCACGUAGGCGGAUCUUUAAGUCAGGGGUGAAAUCCCGAGGCUCAACCUCGGAACUGCCUUUGAUACUAUUGGUCUUGAAUGUUGUUGAGGUGGGCGGAACGGGUCAUGUAGCGGUGAAAUGCAUAGAUAUGACCCGGAACACCGAUUGCGAAGGCAGCCCGCUAAGCAACUAUUGACGCUGAGGCACGAAAGCGUGGGGAUCAAACAGG
rnacentral:rRNA from 1 species